AGCCGGUAAUACCCGAAGUCAGUAGUCCAACCUCGUGAGGACGCUGCCGAAGGUAGGAUUGGCGACUGGGGUGAAGUCGUAACAAGGUAAC
rnacentral:rRNA from 1 species